GGCUGAGAAGGAAGAGUGAGUUGGCGAGGAUGUGCAGAGGCGGAGGAGUGGGGAGAGCCGUGACCCGCGAGGACGGCUCUGCCUCAAGGCUCCGACCUCAGCCAGGAACAUCGAGGCCCCAGGGGAGUGAUGCUCACGUCUUGCAUUCAGUUUGGUUGAAUAAUAUACACUGAGGAUCUGCCUUCUGCCAGGCAAUGAGACUGCGAAAUGAGCGAGAUGCUGUUGUGCUCUCUGGGAGCUCACAGAGCUGUUGAGGAGUCAGGCAUCCGGACAGACAAGCAGAGUUUAUGCAGAAACCAUGUCAGAAUGCUUUGGAAUCACACAGGAGUGAUAAAUUCCUCCUGCAUCGGUUGGUGACGGCUUCACGGAGGAAGUGACAUUUGAGUGAGGCCUUGAAGACUAAGCAGGGUGCCCCAGGGGACGGGGCUGGGGGCGGGGUGUGUGGAAAACACCUCAGGACUCGGGGCUGCUACUCUUCUGCCUGGCUGUGGUCGCACCAGCUUAAGUUCAGCUAGAGCCUUGCUGGGAGUUUGCUCUUUGGGCUCCGAGCGAGGGCAGGCGCAUCGAGAGGGCCUGUUCCCUCUAAGAUGUUUGCUCCUGAGGCUCCAGGCUCCAGUCUCUUCCUCCUGGAACCUUCUGCCGCCUGUCAACAUGGCCCAGCCCAGAAGAGGCUCUGCGGAGGGCGGAGGAGUGAGUGGUCAGAAGCCUGGCGGGUCUUGGCUGCCUCAGCGGUACCCACGGACCACUCAGGAGCUGGCUGAGGGAGCAAGGCCCAGGUCAAGGGUCUGCUGGAGGGGAGCAGGACGGGGUUAGCUGGAGUGCGUGGCACACAGCCCGGAGGCCCUGUGGAGGUCUGUGCAUGCAGCCGUGGGAAGGGCAAGGGGACCGAUGUUUCCCGAACACCUACUCUGCACAGGGAUGGUGUGCUUUCCAUACGUGAGCCAGUCUGUGUAGAGAUCUCGUCAUAAAGUGGGGGGCGAGGAGUCUCCAAGUUGGCCUUGGAA